rnacentral:rRNA from 1 species
AUUGAACGCUGGCGGCAGGCUUAACACAUGCAAGUAGAGCGAGCGGCGGACGGGUGAGUAAUGUCUGGGAAACUGCCUGAUGGAGGGGGAUAACUACUGGAAACGGUAGAUAAUACCGCAUACCAUCAGAUGUGCCCAUAUGGGAUUAGCCAGGAGGUGGGGUAAUGGCUCACCUAGGCGACUAUCCCUAGCUGGUCUGAGAGGAUGACCAGCCACACUGGAACUGAGACAAGGUCCAGACUCCUACGGUAGUCAGCUGUGGGGAAUAUUGCACAAUGGGCGCAAGCCUGAUGCAGCCCUGCCGCGUGUGUGAAGAAGGCCUUCGGGUUGUAAAGCACUUUCAGCUAGGAGGCUUUACUCGCAGCAGACUCACCGGCUAACUCCGUGCCAGCAGCCGCGGUAAUUC